GUCCCCUGCAGUUACCACAUUCUUAUCAAUAAGGUUGCUUAUGUUUGUGAUUAAUUGUUUUAUAUAUUUGGAGGCUCCCGCAAAGACAUUUGGGCAUAUAGACAUUUAUAAUUGUUAGCUCUUCCUGAUGGAUAGACCCUGUAAUUAUUAUAUAAUGCCCUUCUUUAUCUCUUUUUACAGCCUCUAAUUUAAAGUCUAUCGUUUGUCCAAUAUAAGUAUUGCUACUCUGGCCUUCUUUUGACAUCCAUCUGCAUGAUAAAUUUUUCUCCAUCCCCUCAACUUUCAAUCUGGAGGUGUUGUCAGGUCUAAAAUGAGUCUUUUAUU